rnacentral:rRNA from 1 species
CAGCCGCCGCGGGAAUACGUAGGGUGCAAGCGUUAAUCGGAAUUACUGGGCGUAAAGCGUGCGCAGGCGGUUAUAUAAGACAGAUGUGAAAUCCCCGGGCUCAACCUGGGAACUGCAUUUGUGACUGUAUAGCUAGAGUACGGCAGAGGGGGAUGGAAUUCCGCGUGUAGCAGUGAAAUGCGUAGAUAUGCGGAGGAACACCGAUGGCGAAGGCAAUCCCCUGGGCCUGUACUGACGCUCAUGCACGAAAGCGUGGGGAGCAAACAGGAUUAGAUACCCCCCGUAGUCCCUGUCUCUUAUA